UUUUUUUUUUUUUCCACCCAGCAAAAACAGCACAUAAAAAACCUUCAGAGUGGAGUUCCUGUUGUGGCUCAGCAGUCAUGAACCCAACUAGUAUCUAUCCACAAGGAUGCCGGUCCGAUCCCCGGCCCCACUCUGUGGGUUAAGGAUCCGGCAUUGCUGGGAGCUCUGGAGUAGGUCACAGAUGGGGCUCAGAUCCCUGGUUGCUGCGGCUGUGGUGUAGGCUGGCAGCUGUAGCUCCAAUUCGACCUCUAGCCCGGGAACUUCCAUAUGCCACACGCGCAGCCCUAAAAAGCAACAAACAAACUAACAAACCAACCUUCCGAGUACCCUGGACGGGAGAGGACAGCCCCCUCUUUAGUCCUUUCCCCAUAGAGCCCACCCUCCCCGUUGUCUUAGGCAAGGCUGCUUCCCACACUUUGUACCUGCCUGGGCACAGCAGGCCCGUGAGUUGGCCUUCAGAGAAUCUGGACCUGAGUGUUUGGAUAUCCUGGGGGGGAGCAGAGAUGCCGCUCCCACCCCCGCCGCAUCCAGGUCCUGGCAGCGCUCAAGUGGGUGCACUGCGAGGAGACGGCUGAGCUGAUCUGGACCCCGUUGCUCUUCCCUCACCCCCGCCCACUUCCCCAGAGACCAGAGCGCCAAGUCCAGCCCCGGCCAGUCUGCUGCCUCCUCUCCUUUGUCGUGGGGUCCCUGGACCCCCUUUUCCCCAAGAGGGUCGGGCAGAGAGAGGCAGUGUUUCUGCUGGGCUGGUAGAGGAGGCUGAGGGCUGAGUGCACCCUGGCCAGCAGCCCAGGAAGCCUGAGCAUGUAAUUAAAAGAUUGUAUCUUCUUGGGUCUGCCUCUGGGGACAAGAGUUGGGUCUGCCUCUGGGGACAAGAGCUCCCAGUGUUGUCCUGAUCCUGUGACCUCUGUCUGGGCAGUGUCCCCUGCUGCCUGGCUCUGUUCUAUCCCUUCAGGCAGGCUGGGCAGGUCCAUUUCAGCUGGUUCGGAGCACAGAGGGGAUGGACUCCCCUUCUGUCCUUCAGGCCUCCUAACAGAGCCGCCCUGCAGAGUCAUGGUCGUGCCUCUCGUGCACACGCACCCUUGCUGUUGGUAAAGCAUUGUGCAUCCAUCCUGGUGGCGGGGAGUCAACACAGAGCUACCCAGCUGGUCAGUGGAAAGCUGAGCCUCAGAUACAGCCCUGCUGUGUGCUGUGCCCCCUGUCCAUUUCCUCCCCACCCCAACUCCCCUGCUCGGAGGACCAUGGACUGUGGGGAUGAGGUGGGGUGCAAGAGGAGAGCCCCUUCCUCCAGAGCUAGACAACAGCUUUAAGGGAUCCAGAUGGUCAGGGAACACUUUGGCCUUUGCCAGUAAGACCUCGAGACAUCAAGCCAAUACGGCCACGGCGGCCCCCACUCCCGCAUGGGCCCAGUUUCAACCGGCAAAAGGAAGGAAGGCAGGGAAACGUGCCCAGUGGAGAAAAGAGACCAGCUGCUGGGACACCAAGGGGAGGGAGGACAGGGCAGGACAGAGGGGCAGGGGCAGGGGCUAGGAACAUGGCACCUGGGCAGAAGGGAGGACGUUUAAGGGGAUGAGCUGCUGGGCUGCCGCAUCGUCCUGUCUUUCUUCUUCUCGGUGGCUGAUCAGGACCUGGAGCUGAGCAUGUGCUUUCUGAGCCUGGUGGCCUGGCCACAGAGGCUGGGCAUGGCCCUGGAGACCCCUCUCACCCACGAACCCACUGAGGUAUGUGGGCCCAUCCUUGUUAUAGAGCCUGGAAGGGGGCAGCCGACGGGGAGGGACCUGCCCACUGUCUCCUGGGCAGGGUGCUGCUCUCCCAGGUCUAGGUGGGAGCAGCUGCCUUUCUCUGGGCGCUGCUCUCAGCCAGGCUCUGUGCUGAGCACAGUACAGGCAGCAUUGUUAGCCCAUUUUACAGAUGAGAAGACCAGGACUCAGGGGGAAAGUCUCAGCUGAGGCCAAUGCCAGGAGUAGAAUCAGCAGAGUCAGACUCUAGAGCCUGCUGGGCCGCUGCUCCUACCCACCCUUUGAGGGGCUGGUAGGAAGCCCCUUAUGCUGCUGCUGAAAGGUCAGGAAAGACCAGGAGAGCAGAACCUUUAAGGAUGUAAGAGCCAGACCGGGAAGGAAGGGCAAAGCAUUCCCAGGGGUGGGAACAGCAUGAACAAAGGCCGGCAGCAGCGCAGAGCCUUGUCGGAGGACAAUGAGCAGCUGGGCGGAUGGAGCAGAGGAAAAGCGGAGAGAGGCAUGUAGGUGAGGCGGAUCACACUCUGACCAGCUCGCCACGGGCUUCCUGAACACUGGGCUGCAGAGCAAGGCCAGGGCCAGAGGCAGCUACGGACAGGCUUUAAGCAGGACCGCCUGAGUGGCCAUGCUUGCUUCGGGAGAGGCUCCCUCCAGCCACAGGAGUGGCAUGGAGAGCAGUUAGGAGGUGUCAGUCGAGAAGCAGUGUCCUACGUCCUGGAAGAAUUCUAGGAUGCGUGCCCUGAGCAGCUGGGACCAGCAAGGCGGCAGCCUUCCCCUCCCCCAACCAGCCCUCCCCCUCCCCGGGCCCGACGGUCAUCUUCCCCUCCGGUUUGGCUGGAGAGCUGAGCAGGCGCAAAGCACAGAUGCGACUGGUGCCAGUGCGGUUGGGGAGGCUGUCAUUCUUGUGGAUGAGUCAGUGGCCUGCACCCUGUGCCAGCCCCAGCGGCUUGCCGGGACUGGGACGAGGAUUCAAGGAAGGGUGGGGGCGGGAGGCUGGGGGUGGGGCGGGGGUGAUGGCUUGAGAUGCCCCCCGGCCAGCCUUGCUUCCACCUCUGCUUCCACCCAGAAAGCAGGGGUUUGAGUUUGGCAGCCUCUUUCUGCACAGAGGCUGGGCAGCCCCAGUUAACCCCUCCAGUGCCAACCUUGCUGUGUCCUGGCCCUGCCCUAGGUCCUAGCCUACAGGGGUACCCCAAGCUAGGACUGGGAGGUCAAGCUUUCGUUUCCUUCCUCUUUCAGAUCAACACUGCCUGGGCUUCCAGCUCUCCCAGCCUGAAUCCCAGGGCCAUCUUGGUCCUGAUGCCAGGCCCAGGGGCCUGUGCCUGCCUCCAGACCCGCCCUUUCUAGUAUGUUCCAUCGCUGCCAACCUGUGCCUCGAACAGAUGUAAAUAACCAACCAGGAGCAGCCUGCCUUCCCAGGAAGGUAGCUGCCGGCCUGGGCUUCAUCAGAGGAAUGGAUUCUGAUGGUAGAGCCCCAGGGUGGGGGUGGGGAGCAUGGAGGUGCAGGGGGUGGAGGGGUGCUGUCUGAGGCUGCUCAGACCACACUUCUGACAUCCAGCAAGUCUGGACGACAAGCUGGGGUAGCUUUGUCUUGGGGGUCCCUGGAGCUGUGUUCUGAGGGCCCCCCACGGGAGCGGGCUGGCUCUGUUGAGGGGUCGCUGGGGUGUGGGCCCUUGGCUCAAGGGAGCGGGGACAGGAGAACUGGUGAUGUCACUGUCCUCAUUAAACAUAGGGCCCCAAGGUCGGAGGGGGUCCCUGGUUCAGGCUGGGCUGCUCCCCUGGUUCCAUCCGAGGGUGGAAGGGAUGUCUGAGGGAGAACCCCAGGGGGCCCCUCUGAGGGCCGGGGACAGGGACAGGGGUCAGGGGAAGGUGGCUUUAGGGGGAUUCCAUGCACAGUGGAAAAAAAGGACUGAGGCAGGAAAGAUGACUCCACCAGCUGUCCCCUCCCUUCAUAAAGCAAGAGGAGUGGGUGGAGCUGAGGGGUGGCUGAGUAAUGUCCUCAGGGGGAGGGCCAGAAAUGAGGACAUGUGACCCUCGGUGGCUCAAGGGCCAGUGAAGUCACUCUUUCUCCUGGCCUCGGCUUCUCCAUUCUCUCAGGAUGACAGGGUGCCCUCCUGAUGCAAGCUCUUUCUUAAUGACACGAGACCAGACUCCCUGAUCCGCCAACCCUCCCUCCUUCGUCCCUCUGCUCACAGCCAUCGAAGAGAAAGAGGAGCCGUGUCCCUGUGCCAGUGGGGCGGGUGGAGGGCACAGAUGCACAGAUGGUCAAUUUUCACGUGGAAGGUCAACAUUACAGCGCAGAGAGGUCCAGGGCAGAGAGACGUGGGGCCCCCAGACAGAGGCUGGCUCUGCUCAGUCAUGACCAGGAGGGCUUCACAGAGAAGGUGGCAUUUCUUAAAGCAAGAGCGGUGACUGGCUUUGAGGAGCAAAUGGGAAAGGACCUUCUAGGCAAAGGGCAGGGGCUCACCAGGACGAGGGUAACUGGAGGAGGCCUGAGGAGGAAGUCCCUGCCACGUGGUGGAAGCGGGGAUGGAAAGAAGCAGGAGGGAUUGCCUUGGACGGGGAGGGCGUCGCCAGCCCAUCAUCUGGACUUGAUGUUGAGUGAAGAGGGAGAGAGGAUCUUGGUCUAAUGUAAAGCAGGUGGGGCCCAGAAUGUGACAGGCCUGCGUUCAAGCGCAGGUCUUACCACAUAGCUGCCAAGCUUGGGCUGGGCGCUUAACACCCGGGAGCCUCAGUGUCCUCAUCUGUGCAAUGGGAUCGCUGUGCUGGGGUUUCUGUACACAUCAGCCGUGACAGUGCUUUGCAAGCUGUAAAGAGCUCUGCAAGCUCCAGGCGUCCUUGGGGUAGCACCACAGCAGUAGCCCACUUCUGCAUUGACCUUUUGGGGUGCCACUUCCUGGGGGAUGGCCCCAGAGGGCUGCUCUCACCAGGCAGGCUAGUGUUCAGGCAGAGGAGGAUGUUUUUGACGUUCACCAUAACCUCUGUGGGUCACUUUGUCUGGGUACAGCCGCUGCCCACCCAGGGUCUCGGGGGGCCUGCCGUGGAAGGCCUGGGGGCAAGGGGACCGGAGCCUGAACUUAGUGCUGGAGAAUGUUCUAGUGGUACUUCUGGCCUUUGGGCCAUGAACACUGGGACAGUGGGGCAUGAGAGGGUAGGGCCAGUGUACC
rnacentral:lncRNA from 1 species